rnacentral:ncRNA from 1 species
CGCGGUUCCGCGGGGAUUAAUUGGGAAGGCGGUCUGAGUCCGCCGCAACAGCCAUUACCGUGUUCAGCCGAAAAGAAGCAUUAUGCCACUGAGAAAUCGGGAAGGCGCUUUGUACUAUGACUGUAAGCCGGGAGACCUGCCGCGUUCGU